AGCAGGAUGGCAGGGUCCCAUCUGCAGGACCGGAGCUCCCAGGGUUGCCUGCAGGCCACAGUGCUCAGAAAAUGAUUCAGGUGCUGUCUAGACAUUGUGUAACACCACAGGGAGACAGUUACUCUCUUUGCUUCUAAUUUUAUGCCUUUUCUUCCCACCCACCUAAAAAGAUGUCUCCCCAAGCUUUCUGUGACAUUGGUACUCUCUCAUAAGGAGGAGAGUUAGCUCCAGCCCAGACCUUCAGUAUGAAGCAUACUCUAAAAAAUGGCCCUCCUUUCUUACCCUUACCUUCUAUUUAUAGCCAGUGAUGUUGGCUUUCUUUUUCUGGUUGGAACUUCAAGUUGUCUUUAGAUCAUAUUGGAGCAAAAAAUAUAUAUUCAAAGGGAAGUCUUAGGUCCAGGUAAGAUGCGGAUGUGGCCAAGUUAUGAAGGUGGUUUGGGGAGCAAUUUGGGAGUGAGGUAAAAGCAGGAUGGCUCUCGAGAGAGCCAUCCUGUUCCUUCACACGGAGCCGGAACACCAGCAAGUAGGUCUCACUGGCACGGUCCUUCUUCCCCUCGGGCAGUCUGCUGUUUGAUUUAACUGUACCUGUUCCAGAAAACAAACUGAUUCCUAACUUCAUAGCUGUGUAGCCGCAUUGGCAUAGGAUAUGGGAAGUAUUUGGUGCUAUUAUCUUUAAAGCCAGAGGGAACAGUUUGUAGGCUCAGGGCCCUAGACUCGGUGUCUUGGUGCUUGAGAAGCAAUUAAGUUCUAUUUAUAAGGAGAUUCCAACUGUACCCAACUCAUCAGUGUUUGUUCAUUUUUUCUGACAUUGCUACAAAGCAGGGAUGGGGGCGGGUAGGGUAGAGAGGAACCUUGAAACAUUUAAACUUCCUUGCACAGUGGUAUCAAAGUUUUCACCUGAGCAGUUAUAGCUCACUAAAUGGUAAUUCUAUUUCUUCUUCUUCUUCUUUUUUUUUUUAAGGAACAGUGCAAUUAGAUCUUAGUGAGAUUGAGACUUCAGUGUCUCUCAGUAUAUUUGUCAGGACAGAGUCAGAGGUAGUUUGCAAGUGUUCGCGGACAAACCGGGGUGGUGAGACAUUGAAACCAGCACAAGGAGAUUGCCCUCAUCACCACAUAGACAAAACAGUCAGGAGCCCAGCUCGGCGCUGUAAGCGCAAGUGGCAUGAUAUAAUGAAGUUGUAUUCCAUUAGGCUUCUGUGUGCGGGGAGCAAAUGUCAUCACCCGAAUGUGGCCGCAUCUCUGUGAUACAUCCUCAUCUGUCCCGUCAACUAGUUUUGCUCUGAUCAAUAAGCAGUUUUCUGUGGCCUUUCACUGCUGUCAGAUGUCAUGGAGUGAUGUAAAUGCACGUCAGAAACUAGAAACUUGACAGCUCACCCAGAGUGGGCAGAGACAGAGGAGGGAAAUCGCCGCCACAGACACGGGUGACAGCUGACAUCUCCUUGGGGUGACUGAUGGGAUACUGCAGCAGCGGACAUUUUUCCAGCAUCAACACAAGGAUGAUCCUGUUUCAUGUAAAAGACAGAGCAGAUGUUUCCAAAUAAUUUAAGAAAAAAAAUGUUCUUUUAAGUUGUAGCACGGUGAUUAUGUGAUUUAUAUAAAACAUUCCAAAAAAUAAUGAGGUUUUGGCAAAAGGAAAAUUAAGGCGGAUGAAAAUAUAUUUCUGGCAUCUUCUCUACCAUUCAUUGCUCAAAUUAUGAUUAGAAGUAUUUGUCAGUCACAGAAAGUUGUAACCCUUCCCCUCUUCCCCCCAAAAAACAUUUACUCUAAUGGUGUUCAUGCAAUAACACAGGAAAUUGCCCAGGGUUGCAGAGGAUGAGCAGGCUCAUGGCUGACGGAAGACUGACUGUUCAGAUAUGCACAAAGCACACUAGAAGGGUGGGUGACCAGUGAGGACGGUGGGGAGUGAAGAUUGGGACCUGGUCAGUGGAGAGUGGGGUGUGAGGGACAAUUGCUUUUCUGUCCAUGUCCUGCAUUUCAAAAUGUUAACUUUGAAAGGGCUUGCAAAGAAAUGUGGUAUCACCAAAGGACACACGCUCGAAGAGGACUCUAGUUAUAUCCCUAGUGCUACAAGAGCCUUGGGGACUGGGGCCAAAGUGUGUCCUAGCAUGCAGGAAGGCCAGGCUGGGAACACCCAAGCACCACAUAAACCCAGGUAUGGUGUCUUAUGCGUGGGAUCCCAGAACUCAGGAGAGAAAGGCAGAAGGGUAAGAAAUCCAAUGUCACCUUCGGCUACAUAAUAAAUCUGAGGCCAACGUGGGUUACACGAGACUCUCUGUCUCAAACAAACAACAAACAAAUGAACGGGUACUGGAGAUCGUCAGGGGAUCUGGGAACACAAAAAAUGGGGAAUUGAGGCUACAUUGAGAUGGGGGGCGGGGUUGGGUGCAGGGCGGUAGCAGGGAAAUUGUCUGAAAAAGAAUCCAGAUACAUCACCUUCCAAGGAGCACAGGAAACUAUCACAGACUCUGGGCAGAACAAAUCAAGACGGGGACCGGGAGUGUCCUCCAUCUAAAGAUGGGAAGAGGCAUCAGUCCAGGGAGAGCCAUGAAGGAGGCAGCCACUCUUGCUGUCCUCCCUCCUCCAAGUCUGUAGAAAGAAAAUGAACAAUGACACAAAGAGUGAGAGUAAGGGACAGUAUGGACCCAGGCAGGAUUAGGACCUCAAAUUUAAAUGAUUACAAGAUUAUCUCCUGGCCAAGGAAACUAGUUUAAAUGGAGCCUCUUAAGAAGGAAGAGGAUGACAUGGAGGUAAGAAACCUAAGCUCCAGCCUUUCCUCCUGGAAUUCUGGCCAAGAAAAGACUGAGAAGGAAGAUAAAGCUUAGCCCACACUCCUCUGGAAAGCAGAGCAAGAGGCCUAAGCUCUAAAGCCACAGCAGCAGGAGGUGAUGAUCCACACACAGAGCAACAGGAGGUGAUGCUCCACACACAGCAGCAGGAGGUGAUGCUCCACACACACAGCAGCAGGAGGUGAUGAUCCACACACAGAGCAACAGGAGGUGAUGCUCCACAUAGAGCAACAGGAGGUGAUGCUCCACACACAGCAGCAAGAGGUGAUGCUCCACACACACAGCAGCAGGAGGUGAUGCUCCACACACAGUAGCAGGAGGUGAUGCUCCACACACAGCAGCAAGAGGUGAUGCUCCACACACAGCAGCAGGAGGUGAUGAUCCACACACAGCAGCAGGAGGUGAUGAUCCACACACAGCAGCAAGAGGUGAUGCUCCACACACAGCAGCAGGAGGUGAUGAUCCACACACAGAGCAACAGGAGGUGAUGCUCCACACAGAGCAACAGGAGGUGAUGCUCCACACACAGCAGCAAGAGGUGAUGCUCCACACACACAGCAGCAGGAGGUGAUGCUCCACACACAGCAGCAGGAGGUGAUGCUCCACACACAGCAGCAGGAGGUGAUGCUCCACACACAGCAGCAGGAGGUGAUGAUCCACACACAGCAGCAAGAGGUGAUGCUCCACACACACAGCAGCAGGAGGUGAUGCUCCACACACAGCAGCAGGAGGUGAUGCUCCACACACACAGCAGCAGGAGGUGAUGCUCCACACACAGCAGCAGGAGGUAAUGUUCCACACACACAGCAGCAGGAGGUGAUGCUCCACACACAGCAGCAGGAGGUGAUGCUCCACACACAGCAGCAGGAGGUGAUGCUCCACGCACAGCAGCAGGAGAUGAUGUUCCACACACAGCAGCAGGAGGUGAUGCUCCACACACACAGCAGCAGGAGGUGAUGCUCCACGCACAGCAGCAGGAGGUAAUGUUCCACACACAGCAGCAGGAGGUGAUGCUCCACACACACAGCAGCAGGAGGCGAUGCUCCACACACACAGCAGCAGGAGGCGAUGCUCCAAACACACAGCAGCAGGAGGUGAUGCUCCACACACACAGCAGCAGGAGGUGAUGUUCCACACACAGCAGCAGGAGGUGAUGCUCCACACACACAGCAGCAGGAGGUGAUGCUCCACACACACAGCAGCAGGAGGUGAUGUUCCACACACAGCAGCAGGAGGUGAUGCUCCACACACACAGCAGCAGGAGGUGAUGCUCCACACACAGCAGCAGGAGGUGAUGCUCCACACACAGCAGCAGGAGGUGAUGCUCCACACACAGCAGCAGGAGGUGAUGUUCCACACACAGCAGCAAGAGGUGAUGCUCCACACACAGCAGCAGGAGGCGAUGCUCCACACACACAGCAGCAGGAGGUGAUGCUCCAGGUGAUGCUCCACACACAGUAGCAGGAGAUGGGAGCUGGACAGGUGAUGCUCAAAGAGAGGAGAGAAGGAAAGGAUUUAGGAAGAUGCUAGAAGAUGUGGGGAAUUCAGAGAUAAAGGGAGCAAGAGAUCAGUGGAGAUGAAGGUGAGGAGGAAUGGAGGCGAAGGGUGGAAAGAGAAGGAGGAGAGAAGCAAGGAACUGUACGAUGUUGUUAUCUGGGUGACAUCUGAACAGCCCAUAAGUUUGCCAUUGAGGAGGAUGUUUCUGAAGAUAUCUCCCUUGAAUACAACUGCCUGUAAAUCAAACAAACCAAUUAAAAAUUACAAAAAAGAAAAAGAAAAAAAGCACCAGGCUGCUGGCUACUGCUCUUCCAGAGGACCAGGGAGCAGUUUCCAGCGCCAGUGUCUAAGGGUUCACAACUACCUGUAGCUCUAGCCUCUGGCCCCCACAACCUCUGCAUAUGCCUUAUGCAAGUACACAUAUUCUCAUAUUCUCUCUCUCUCUCUCUCUCUCUCUCUCUCUCUCUCUCUCUCUCUCUCUCUCUCUCCCCUUUCUCUCACUUAAAAAUAAUAAAAACAAAUCUUAAAAAACAAAAACAAAUGACAGGCGUGGAUACAUUUGUUAGAACUCAUGAUUCAUUGUGGCCAUCGACAUAAAGCAGCAGAAUCAAGAGCAGCCGUGUCUCUGUGAAGACUUGAUGGAAGAGGCAAACUCUGGAAGAGAAGGAGCAGGAAGAGGAAGAACUCCACAGAUUUCAUGAGAAGCAAGCCAGGCAGCACUGGGACAGCCACCGUUGGUCCCAGAAGUUAGAUAGGAUGAAAGACAGAUGGACUGGUGAAUCUUCCUUGAGGACUAUAGUGUUACCACCAAAGGUAGCAAAAUUCCCAGUCCCAUGUGAUCACAGAAAGAGUCUUUGCAUCUCCUGGAGGCCAUUGCUAAGGGUAGCUACAAGAAGCCAAUACCUAUGUAAGUUCCCAGUUAGUUCCCAGUGUGCUACGGAGCCAUGACACCAUCAGUAUGGCUGAGACUAGCCGCAGCAAGACAGCAGUCUCCCUUAUUCUGUUACUUGUCUGAAUCACCACACUUCCAGAACUGCAAGGGUCAGAAUAGGGAGGGCCCUUAUCAUUCUAGCUCCUACCUAUGACUUAUCUCAGCACACUGAGGAGGAAACCAUCAAGUAUGGAAAGCUGCUAGGUUUGUUCUAUGUGGCUGCAGUUGGUGGCAUCCAAAGCUUAGGUUACACAAGACAUGAACCCCAAGACGUCUGAUUGAUGGAUGUACAGAAGAACACUACCUAGUGUUGCUAUACCUGAGGGGUUUGGGAUGAGGCACACAGGAUGAUUGACAGAUGAUUGACAGAGGUUCUGAAGAUCCUGGCAUGCAUACCUGUCAGCAACCCAGAGGCUGAGAACCUGAAGAUGUUGGCCAACUUUAACAAGUAUCACCAAACAGUCAUGUUCAUGGCUCCUAGCAAUGGGGCAUCUAGCCAGGAGCUGCCUUCAGUGAUUCAUUGUAGGCAAGCCCUAUGAACAUGUGGAACAAGAAGUCUUAUGUCAGAGUCAGAAAUGAGGUUGAAAAGCUCCUGGCAAUCUUGGUUUUGAUCCAUCUACCAUGAUUUUUGUCAACCAAGAGGGUUGUGACAUGUUGGCAAAGUCCCUAGAAGUAGUACUGCACUUAUGCACUGCAUGGAGGAAAAGGCCAGGAACAACGGGAAUUUGAUCAACCUCAAGGAGCCAAGGAUAUUUCGUUUGACUGGUGAUGGUCAUACCCAAGAUAUGUCUAAAGUUGUCAAUUAGGUUAGGGCAAAACAUAUUGACAGUUACCUUCACAAUACUGGCCCCAUGAAACAAGCAAGGGAGAGUGGUGUAGUGAUCACAAGAACUUAGCCAUCUUCUGUAAGCUGGACUUUCCUAGAGAGUCCAGUGUCAUCUUGUCUCCCAGAGCUGGUGAGCCACUCAAGAUGCUCAGCAGGAGCCAUAGGACUCACCAGGAAGCACCAGGAAGAAGCCAUUCUUGUUUGACAGGACACCUCCAUUUGGUCUAAGGUUGUGCCUUGGUGCUGGUGCCUGUUCUUUAAGACCCUCGAGUCUCUUUUCUAGAUUCUCAUUCUUGUUUUGGAGACAAUUAGAAACAACCAUAUGCCCUAGCCUUAGACCUCCGAGGCUGAUGGCCUGCACGACAGGCUACACAGGGUAGGAAGCAGGGGGAGCAAAUUACCACAGGGUUGGCUCAGUGCUGCCCCUUGCAGCUUGGGGAUUGUCCUGGUUGCCGAGUGGCUGUUUAUCACUGUCUUGCCUAGACAGAACAAACCUGGCCACCUGAUGUGGGACCUUGGGAGGAGCACAAAGGUGGAUGUGUAACUAUAAGUGUGAAUUGUGGUGACAUUGUUGCUGAAAAUUACCCAGAGUAUCUGGUGUCAUGGAAAUUGUGGACGGUUUCUGUCAUUUUAGUAACUGUCUCCCCAUUGGGAGUACAGAAUAGAUUAAGGAGCUUUAGAACUGUGCACAGCCAUGUGCCUCAGAGUGGUGUGUAUUCUAGGCACCCUGCCCCAGGGAAUUGUUUUAGAUAUAGGGACAGGGUAAGCUGGCUGUGUCCAUCUUUAAGUCACAGAGUGAAAAAAAAAUACUUUUUUUUUUCCUUUGAGAAAAUAAGUUUGUAUGUUAUGUGAAUAAAUGCAUGGGUAUUAAAAAACAAAUAAACAAACAACAAAACCAUUCAGGGCCUGCAAGAGGCUCAGGAGAUAAACAGACCUGCUGCCAAGCCUGACAGCCUGAGUUCCCGGGAUGCACGUGGUGAAAGCAGAGAACUUAAUCUCCUCUAAGUUGUCCUGUCCUCCCACACGUGUGUCUGAAUGUAUGCAUGGGCGCACACAUACACACAUGCUAAGUGGUAUCUUAUUUUUAAGAUUCCUAAUUUCUAUUUAUGUGUGUCAGUGUAUGCCGUGUGUUGAGUGGGUGGGUGGAGGUAGAGAGAUGCAUGACUGUGGAGUCCACCUUGGAGUCUAGAAGAUGGAUCAGAUCGCCAGAAGCUAGAGUUACAGAUUGUUGUGAAGAGCCCCACCCUGGGCUCUGGAAACCAAAACCUGCUCUUCUGCAAGACUGAGGUUCUCAUAACCGUUGAGGCAUCGCUCCAGCUCCUGAUCAAAUGAAACUUUUUGCAUACACACACACACACACACACAUAUAUACACACACACCCAUAUACACAUAUAUAUACACACACAUAUAUGUAUGUAUGUGUGUAUGCAUGUUUAUGUAUAUGUGUAUAUACAUAUAUAAAUAUGUAUGUGUGUAUGCAUAUGUGUAUAUGUAUAUAUGUGUAUAUACAUAUAUAUAUAUUCAUAUCUUUACAGAGAAAGUGUUACCAUUUCUCCUUAACAUAUAAAAGGCUGAUGCUUAUAGACCUUAAAUAAUAUUGAAGGUCUUGUAGCUCAUAAACAAGAAGGUGGAAUUUGAGUCCAAAUUCUUAGACUCCAAAGAUAAGUUCAGAGUCUCUGUAACAGUGUUGAAAACGUUUAAAUGUUGAACCCAGCUAGUCAUGGUGACACACUCUUGUACUUUCAGCAUUUGGGGGGAAGGGCGGUGAUGCUGGAGGUUUGUGAGUUCAAGAUCAGCCUGGGCUACAUAAUAAGACCGUGUCUCAAUAUAUAAGUAAAUAAAUAUAUUUUAAAAAUAAAGUAAAUGGCAGGCCUAGGCACUUAAGCUCGUAAAUCCUCGGAGGCCGUACCUGGCUUGCAGUGUGGUGUGGAUAUGGAUGGUCCUUCAUUACUUGUUUUCCCCUUAAGGUGCCAUCUAGGCACUAGGUACCUUUCUUCCCAUCUCCCACUGCAACCAUUCUAUGGAUAUAGUAGGUUAAUCAACAUGUCUUCCUUGUGGUCUUUGGAUGCUAGGACAGGUCUCUUAACUGCUCACUAUGCAGAGGUCUUGGCCAACAAAAGCACUUGCUAACUAUAUGCUGAAGGAAUGACUCCAGUGUGACAGCAUUUUAAAGGUGUGUGUGUGAGUGUGUGUGUGUGUUAUACAUAUGAACAACCUCGUGGGUGUUGCUCCUCAGGGAUGAUAGCUACCUUUUUUUUUUUUUUUUCUUUUUUUUGAGACAUGCUUUGUCACUGGCCUGGAGCUUGACAGGGAGGCUAGGUAAAUAGCCCUCUCUCAAUCUUCCUUCUUCCAAACCCCACCGCACAAGUGUGUGCAAGCAUCAUGAUAGCUAUGUGGUUCUAGUGAACUCAGGUUCUUGUGUUUGGAGAGCCUUCCCAGCCCAGAAACUGUGCGACUGUAUCUCAUUGGUUCUUUCCCAUAAAGUGUGUGGUUGGGUAAUUCAUUCAAGAGCAUGUGUUUCACUGAGGCCAGGAGCUUACAGGAUCGAGGCAGAAAGAUGGUUUAUUCUCAAAACAGUAAGCCACUAUUCACUAUUAGGGGUAGGAGCUGUAAGGGAGAAGGUUGGGGAAAGAUCAGCAGAGGUCAAAUUCCCUUUGUGAAGGAGAAAGUUACUUGCAACAGUCUAGUGGGAGAAAGUUACUUUGGCACGGCCACCCACGUGGCUCAGUUACUUUUUUGCGUUGUUCCCAUUGUGCUGAGGCCUCCCCACCAAAGUUAAUCUCCCAGGGCUGCUUCUGUUUGCACGACCCCACAAUGUCUAGUCUUUGCUCUUCACUGUUGCUUUUGAAGUUCUUUCCUUGUUCAUUUCAGGGUCAACGAUAUAAGACUAGUGAGAAGAGUUCAAAAUUAGAGUCACCCCCUCCUGGGCUGCGGGCCGGCUGGGUGUGAGGGGCAGACAGCCUUCUGUGAGGGAGCAAGCAAGCAACAGAGCAGAAGAAAGCUAUGUAAUAAGUAACUGGUACAACAGGGGUUAGCAAACAGCCAGCAGUUUCAUGGAGACCUUGGAUUUGGAUGUUGUUGGUGAAAGUGUUUUUCUCUGUUCUUACACAUACCUUGCAGACACUCUCAUCAGUGUACAGAUGUACAGGCUCCCGUGCACCCUGUGCAGGACUGGGAACUGCACGUAGGGCAUCGCAUGUGCUAGGUCCUACUGCUGGGCUAUGUCAUAGUCUUAUGCCCUCAAAUGCUAUGUGCAUUAUUGCUGGGCUCACUGGCACCUCUGCUCUCACCGGCUCACUUUAAACAAAGAGGCGCCUUCACCUGUCCACUAUAGCCUGUGGUGUGUCUGAGAGCUGGUUGGUCAGCCUCGUCUGGUACAUGAGUUGGGAUGUAGGCUUCCCUGCUUGCAUGGCAUGUUCUGCCAUGGUUUUUUUUCCCCACACCCCCUCAGUUCUAUACAGUACAGAACAUUUGUCAGCCAGCCUUAAUUCUGUUAUUGAGAUCUAUACAACUUCACUCGCUAGCCUCAUUUUCUGUGAAAGAGAAGGCUUCUACUGAAAUGACUCUCUGGCUCCUAAGAUGCCACAAGGAGCAGAAGAAUUCUGAUCCUCAUGGGCUUCUGCCUCGUUCAGCAGUGACCUCCUUAGAAUAUGGCUUCCGCCACUAAGCACAAUAAACCAUCACGGUGUGAUUUGCUGAGAACUCAAUUUGCAGGCUUUCUGUUGUUGUUUUGUUGUUGUUGGUGGUGGUGGUGGUUUUUCGAGACAGGUGUUCUGUGUGUAACAGAGCCCUGGCAGGCCUGGAUUCACUUUGUAGACCCCAUUGGCCUCAAACUUACAGAGCUCUGCCUGUUCCUGCUUCCUCAAGUGCUGGCAUUAAAGCUGUGCCCCACAAUGCCCAGCCCACUAUGCAGGCUUUUAACCUCAUAGAAUUAAAGGGGUAAAUGUGCUGUUUGCCUGCUUCUCCUGUUCCUCUUUCUCCUCCUGGAUUCAUAUCUGGUUCUCAGAUAAUUUGAAUAAAGAGGAGGUGUGGUUUCAGACUUGUGGGUAUGUGUGCCAGUCUUGAUAGUAGCGAUUUGCCCCUCAUGGGUGCUUAGGUGUUGCCGUGAGGAUUCUUCUAGAUUUAAUUAGCAACAAUCUGGAAAUCACAAAGCCACAAUCCUCAUGUAUUCAGAAAAUUAUUCUAAGAUAGAAUUGAUGCUACUUUACAUUAUUAUUAUUGUAUCCAUCCAUCCAUCCGUCCGUCCAUCCAUUCAUCCACCCAUCCAUCCAUUCAUCCAUCCAUCCGUCUGUCCAUUCAUCUGUCCAUCCGUCCAUCCGUCUGUCUGUUCAUCCAUCCAUCCAUCCAUCCAUCCAUCCAUCCAUCCAUCCGUAUGUAUGUAUGUAUGAAUGUAUGUAUGUAUGUAUGUGUCUGUUAUGUGUGUUUGUUUAUUUGCAUGUGUUGGUAGGCACAUGCUAUGGCACAUGUAUAGAAGUCAGAGGACAACUUUAUAGAGUCACUUCUUUACAUGGGUCCUAGGGAUUGAACUCAGGACAUUAGAAUUCAUGGCAAGUGCUAUUUACUCAUUGAACCAUCUUGUCUUCCAGCAGGUUCUAUUUGGAAUGUUGCAAAUAAACCCAGAAGCAUCAUUGAGAGCAAGCAGUAAAGGUUAUUUUUUUAUGGACAGGAAAGGUCCUUGUACUCUGAAGAAACUCUCUACCUCUUCCUCCUCAAGGUUGAGGUGGACAGCCUUGCUGUGUGGUUCAUUCUGGCCUCGAACUCAAGGUUGUUGUGAAUGGCUUUGUGUGUGUGUGUGUGUGUGUGUGUGUGUGUGUGUGUCAAACUCAAACUACUCUUGCCUCAACCCGGUAGUGUGGGGGCUGUCACAGUGAUUCUUUCACUUGUGAGGUCUGCAGUCAUGUUGGAUUAGGGUCCUGCCCUUUUUACCUUAUUCAACUGUAAGCAGUUACCUCUCCUUUAAAUAAAGGACCUCUCACAAUAUAGCCUCGUAGGGUUGGAGAUUCCGCACGUGGAUGGGAGGAGGAGAUUAACACAGUUCACUCUACAAGCAGACAUGGUCUUAAAGAUGUCCUUUUCUGGUAGUCUGAAUGGGAGUGGCUCCCAUAGGCUCAGGCAUUGGGAGACUGUUCCCACUUGGGGCUGUUUGGGGGAGGGUUAGGAGGUGUGGUCUUCCUGAAGGGACCCAAUCACUAGAGGCAGGCUUUAGGGUUAGGGUUAUAUAGCCUCUUUCCACUUCCAGUUCCCUCUCAGUGCUGCAUGAUUGUCGCUGAGCUGUGAUUUCUCAGCUUCCUGUUUAAGCUCUCACGCCCGCCCGCUGUCCUGUCUCCCCUUCUAUAUGUUGCCUUGGUUGUGGUGUUUUAUCACAGCAACAGAAAAGGAACUAGUGUGCACCACUCACAGGAAGAAUUCAUCCUCAGGCUUUUAAAAAAAUUGAUUUAUAUUAUUGGGAGAGUAUAUUGCUUUAUAGUUAAUUAUGUUCCUUUUUCGUUUACUAAGUUGUAAGUCUCCUAAACUUGUAGAUUAGAAUUACUCGGCCUGUGGCUAGUUCAGAGGUUGGUGCUGUAUUUAUUAGAAAUUUAAUAAAUAGUUCAUAGAGCUUAAGAGUCAGUGGAGUUCAUGCUAAAUGCCUAAUUUAAUUUCCUGACAUAUGUACAAAUGAGAAGGAAAGGCAUUUGAGAAAAACUAGGUGUUUACCAAAGCUCAAGUCUUCAAGACAGAACAGAGCAUGGCCUUCCUGGUGUGGAGUCUCUGACUUUGUGUCACCAGCACUGCCUGGGGACAGAGCCCCGCCGAGGUUAAGAGUGUGCUGUGGUAAGAGCAUGCCUCCAGGUCCAAACUCAAGGCUGACUAUGUCUGAUCUAUAGAAAAAAAUUUAUGUUAUACUCAGUGCAAUUACAACUUUUUGCCACUUAUUAAGACUUCAGAGAUACAAACCAGUAGCCCAGUAAUUGCUUUCUUGAAUCUGCCUUUAAUAAUUACAUUUAGUAAGGCUGUAUCGAAAAUUAGAAAGGCAGAGACUAAUGGAAAACUAGAUUUUUCACUGAAUUAGAAAGCAAGACAAUCCAUAUAUUGACAACACUUCAAGUUGAAACAGAUCAGGAAAACUGUUUUGGACUGUUUGCUCGGAGAGGCAGACGUGGUCCUGAUGGGCAGCGGCACCCGUGGUUUAUGGAAGCUGAGAAACUCUCGGAGAUUUCAUGUAAAUCGGCACGCUGAGGGGAGAGAGAGCCCAGCUCUGAUUUUGGGAGAAGUCAUUUGAAUCUUUUAAAGCCUGAAAUUUCUCUGCCGUGCUAACAAA